rnacentral:rRNA from 1 species
UACGGAGGAUGCGAGCGUUAUCCGGAUUUAUUGGGUUUAAAGGGUGCGUAGGCGGGUUAUCAAGUCAGCGGUAAAAUCGUGGAGCUCAACUCCAUCCAGCCGUUGAAACUGAUGAUCUUGAGUGGGCGAGAAGUAUGCGGAAUGCGUGGUGUAGCGGUGAAAUGCAUAGAUAUCACGCAGAACUCCGAUUGCGAAGGCAGCAUACCGGCGCCCGACUGACGCUGAAGCACGAAAGCGUGGGGAUCGAACAGG